rnacentral:rRNA from 1 species
CGCUAGAACGAACGCUGGCGGCGUGCUAACACAUGCAAGUCGAACGCGAAAGGGACUUCGGUCCUGAGUAAAGUGGCGCACGGGUGAGUAACGCGUAGAUAACCUGUCUUCAUGUCUGGAAUAAUACGCCGAAAGGGGUACUAAUACCGGAUAUUCUUGCUUUUCAUAAGUUAUGCAAGCAAAGGUGGCCUCUGCAUAUGCUACUGCAUGAAGAGGGGUCUGCGUACCAUUAGCUAGUAGGUGGGGUAAUGGCCUACCUAGGCGACGAUGGUUAGCGGGUCUGAGAGGAUGAUCCGCCACACUGGCACUGGAACACGGGCCAGACUCCUACGGGAGGCAGCAGUGAGGAAUAUUGCGCAAUGGGGGAAACCCUGACGCAGCGACGCCGCGUGAGUGAGGAAAAGGCCUUCGGGUCGUAAAGCUCUGUCAAGAGGAAAGAAGUGUACAAUGGCUAAUACCUGUUGUAUUUGACGGUACCUCUAAAGGAAGCACCGGCUAACUCCGUGCCAGCAGCUGC